rnacentral:rRNA from 1 species
CGGCCAUACCAUGCUGAAUAUACCGGUUCUCGUUAGAUCACCGAAGUCAAGCAUCAUUGGGCGCGGUCAGUACUUGGGUGGGUGACCACCUGGGAAACACCGCGUGCCGU